UGCUAGGCUAAAGAAGUCUGUGCAGGACAUUCCCUGCCUUUAGUACCAUUCUUUUCUCACGAAGUGCUCUACAGUACCUCAUCGACAUUUUAAAAUCUGAAUAAUAGUCAAUUAAAUAGUGCUUAUUUAAAACAAAUAUGGAAAGAUUUAUUGUUUCCAGCCUUUGGGGUGGGGGUAGAGGGAGAAAUAAGGAAAGAGCUCUGGAGAUGCAACAACAGAUUUUGGUGAUAGCAUUCUCACACCAUAUUUUGCAAAGCAGCCUUAGUGUUUUCCAGCCAGCUUUGUGUGCCCACCGCGCUAAACAGUUGGUAACACCAUAAUUAUGAAAUCAACUCUUACUUCCUCCACAGAAGCAAAACCCUCUUCCUAAAUGGUAGUUCUUGCCUUUAUAGAAUCUGCAGAUCUGGAGUCAUGUAGAUGAACUAGGAAAACAAGCCUGACAUGAGGAAGAGCUGGAAAUUCAUUUGACACAUUUAUGAAGUCCAGGGUAGUUUACACACGUCAAAUGUGCAGAAUAAACUCCCAUUGCCUUUUCCAGGCGACUCAGCUUCCAGCAAAGCAUCUUUUUCAGAGUGCUUUGUUCCUCAAUUUACCAAAAAGGAAGCAAUGGGUGCAAGGGCAGAUGCUGAUUUAGUAAACACGCAGACUCCUAUUGGGCAAGUUGCUUUUCCUGAGGUUGUUUAUGCUGAGAGCUGAGGUCAGCAAAGGAAUAUAGUUUAUGGUUUGGCCGCAGAGCUGCUGUGUAAUUUGUCUUCCAAGUACUGGUGUUCAGAGGAAACUGUCUUCAGUCAUAACAUUUUUCUUUGCCUCAGUACUAAAUGUUGGCUUGUUCCUCAAAAGGUGAAGACCUUAGAUGGUUACUCACUGCUUGAGCCCAUUAGGUGACAACUAAGAACAAAGGAAGCAGGUAAAGCAUACAACAAACUUCUUCUCAUUUUAAAUAAUUCCUCAGUUCUAACAGAUUCACUAAAAAAUAUGGUGGAUCCCACUAAGAUUAACAAUUUUGUUUCACCUGUUCCAAUAAUCAACGCUUUUCAUUUAUCAGUAGUACCUCAAAAAUUAAUCCCUAGUUCUUUGAUGCUAUAGCAUAUUAUAUGUGUGUCACCAUUGGAACCAAAGAGAGCAUCUCUUAUUUCUUAAGUUCAGUUGUGGGGUAUUGGGCAAAUAAAGCAGCUGUACAGGUAAUAAUAAUACAAGAAAAAUUACGUCAAAACAAAUCAGGUUUUGAGGCCCCUGAUUACAGCAAUAGUAAAAUACUAAAAAAGCAAUAAGAAAAACCACAAUCACAUGUAGAUCCCAUUUUCCUAAUAUUUCCAAAUAAAAAAAAACCUAAAUAAAGGAAAAUAUUUAUAAGAAAAAAAGUUUCCAAAGGGCCCUGAAAGAUGUCAAUGCCUGUUCAGCCACUGCAACACAUUUCCUAUUUCUCUGCUCCCGUACAUUGAGGUAAACAGAGAUUAAAAGAAACUAUGUUCUCAUGGUUAUAAAACACAGGAUUGAGCCAGAAAUCAACAGCCCUGUUCAUGCUUCCAGUGCAACUUUUACAUAGUACUUUCUCUUCGUUUCGGUUUCUCUCUUUCUUUUAGACAAAAAUAGUCACAUUGAACAAAUUAGCCAGAAUAGAAGGGAAGCAGUUCAAGAAGUGUUUUUAAAUCACUUUUCCAUCUCAGCUGGACAGCAUGACAGAAAUUCAUAGUAUUACUUGCAACAACAAGGCUGGGUAAGUACAGACUGCCUGUGCACUCCAAGGCACGUCAGGAUGGUAAAGAAUACUGACUUUGCUGGUAAUGAACUUUUGUCUCAAAAAGACCAGGAUCGAAAUAUUUGCCACCUUCCUUCUAAUAUAGGGUAGCUGCCCAAGCUUUGGGCACAUACAAACAUGACCUCCCUUAAGCUUUGGGUAAACAAAUGUCUUGGCAGUAGGCUCACAUUUCUGGAUUACCUCUGCACAUAAACAUGACCUCAUUUCCUUACAAGCAAAAAGCAGCAAGAUAGGGGUUGGAACUUGUUUGGUGAUUAACUCUGCUUUCCCCCCUCCCGCCCCCAAGAAGUUGUUUAUAAACAAAAAAAUAAUUCAGAUAUACAGCAAAAAUAAUAGGGAGGGGAUAACUCUUCCAAAAGGAGAUGGAGAGUCAUCCCCAAAGAAAGGUGUGGUUCUGCUGCAGAACAGGACAGUUGCUGACUUCUGAUAACUAGGCAAGCAUUGUAACCAAGUACUACUGUCCUACACCCCAAGAGUUCCACUACAUCCCUCAGACAGGCAAGGGAGGACAGACCCACCCUAGAGGCUAUGGGUUAUUUCUCCUUUCCUCACAGGCAGGCACUUCAGUACAUAAAACCCUUUCCCAGCAGUGGUGCCAUGUACUACUCUGGAGUAACGCAUCUCCCCAUUCUCCAACACCCCUUUCCACAGACAGCCUGGAAAUAGAAUUUGGUCCUCAAGCUUGUUCCAAAGCCACGUGAAAUAAUGGGUGAACUUCAAUUAUUUUGGGCCAUAUCGACUACAGAAGGCCAACUAGAAAUGAAAUCCCAAAGACUUAGAAAAGCCCUGCAUCUAGCAAGAGUGAAAGGAUGGGAAAGGUGAUCAAGAGCUUUUGGUAGAGUGACCAACUCCUUCCCCGCUCUGAUUUUUACAGCUGCUGCUGUCAGCUAGGGAGUUUUGCAGAGCAAGAAGUUUUCCCAGACAUGGAGGAACAACUGCCACUAUUGUAGGAUGAUGGUGAAAUCAAAGCCCUCCAACUCCUGAAAGUCAAGAGUGAAAUCCACAGACCACUUGUAAAUCAAGGAGACAAACACAAAGUGCAGCCACUUAAAACAGAUGGACCAGACCCACAGUGUGACUUGGAUACCAUCAUGUCAAUUUAUACUAUGCAAGGGAUCCAUCCUGCAUAUUUUAAAGCAGAAAACUGACUCGAUUAGACUUGCCUUAAUCACGAAAAUGUUCUCUUUAGGGAGUGGCUGUCACCCAAAAGAGACUUAACAGAGCACAGCCAUUGUUAGCAGGAGAAAGGAGGCCAAAUGCUUUUCUGGCCAGCCCUUGUGGAAGGGUUGUGAGGUCAGCAAUGAAAUAAGUCUCCUUGCUAGCUCUAGCAGCACUCCAGCAGGAUGCCAACAGGAUGCAGAGCUACUUUCCUCUGGACAGGACUGCAUAUGCUCCUUCAAAAACAUACUUGGCAGACAGAAGACAACUUGGAGAGGAAGCAAGAAAGAUUCAGAGAACUGAAACUCCGACUAGGCACUGCCUUCACACACUCAAUCAGCAAUCUGGACCUAACUUAUUUGCUAGAAAAAUAUAAUUGCUGUCAUCAGCAAUCCUCAUUAUAUACUUGAGCUGCCUCAAACUACCAUAAUUGCAUAUUCCUUCCUUCCAUGUAUGCAGUAGCUAGCAGGUGCGCAGCCAGCCCAUUUUCCCCAUGUGAAAUAACAGCAUGAUUUCCCCCAACAGCAAUCACUCCCUUUCUACCAAAUCUUGUCUCCAGGAUUCUCAGGUGCACAUAAUAUACACCCUCGAUAGUGACAUAAACCUUUUCUACCCUCCUCCAUUAAAAACACAUAGGUUCCAGCAAUGUGGUUUGGGAGAAACAAGGCAAACACGCAAGACAAAUAGAGACAUUUUGCCAACUGCAGAGCAGUCUGGAUCAAAACACGAGAUUCACCCAAGGCACAGCUUCAUUGCCUUCAUUUGGAUUAUGCAAAGAACAGAUUUGGCCUGGAGAUCAAAUUGAUCCAUCUGGAUAUAAGCUGAUAGCAGUAAUUGGAACUGGUAUGAACUCCUGCAACUAUUGGCAUCUCUCCUUGUUUUUUUGCUGCCCAGCAGUCUACUUCAAUUCAUUACCGUAUUAAAUAAUGAAGCUUCAAUUCUACGCAAUGGUUUAUCCUGCCCAAAAUAUCACAUUCCAACCCUUUGGCAAACCUGGAAAGAAUCUAGAAAUAGGCAGAGAAAAUGUGAGAGACAUUCCUACACACAAAAGCAUGAAGGAAAGGCCUACACAGUUCAAGGUGAAGACAAAUCACAGGGGACAUGACAGAACUAUACAGACUAGACAAUAGCACAGGGAAAGCUGGCAAAGUCAUGUACCCUUGAGGGCAACAAGAGCAAUCAAAAUCUUUACUUAUACCACAAGCAUUUAGCUGCAGUCAACAAUAAAAUUAUCUUCCCCUCCCCUCCAAAACCACAAUUUAGACACAUGGAUAAUAAUUCAGAAACAAGCAAUAGAUGGAAAAGUUAGGAGGUAUCAUAAAUUUUACUACUUUAGACUCUAUGAAUAAGAACGUGAGUUAGAAAGAAAAUUCCACCAUUAGCCUGGUUGUGCUAUCAUCAUCUAUAGGAUUUCUUGGGUCCAAUUCAAAAAAAUGUGCUUUGGAGAAGGGAUACUGGUCUUGCAGUCACUAGCCUGUCUUGUUUAGGACUUCUUGUACUAUGCCCCCAUGCUUCAUUAGUUGGAUGUAGAGGGAAGAUUGGUCCAGAGGUUCAAUAAAAUGAAAUCUGCAGUUAAAGCAUCUGAAGAUUCAGGCACAUUCUGACCAGGGAACCGAUUGAAGCACACCUAACCGAAGUCCUCAGUGAAGCAAAGAUGCUUACUGACUUAUGGGAAGCAAAACAAGCCUUUUUGUGACUGUCUCAGGUAGAUUUACUCCCCAGUCUACAGUACUGUUCUUUCCAUCACAUUGUAUAGCUUAACAGUUCAGCUCUGAAAACUGCUGCUUGUCACACUCCUUAAAGCAGCUUUCAAAGCGUUCCAGAUUUCAUCAGUUAGAUGUUGUUCCUGUGAUGAUACUUGGAAUUAUUCUCUCCUUAUUUAAAGCAAUAAAUCUUAAAAGAUGGAAGACCUCCUUGCUGCUUUCUCAUCAGAUGCACGGGGUUUUUUUCAGCCACAACAGGAGAAAAUACAAGAAAACUGCUUCAAGAACCAUGGUACAUAUAAAAAUGCCGCUUAUUAACUUAGAACACAAGUUCUUCAUUGUAGUGUUAGGCGAAACUGAAUUGUUUUGCAAGUACUGGCCUGCCUGGAAACCAGAUAUAGUUUAAGGAUCCUCAAACUUACAAUUUCCAGGAAAGGAGAAAAACCCCUUUGAACAACAGUAGAGGAAUUUUGAAAAUAAUCAUUUGUAAAAGAAAGAGGGAAUGGGUGACGCAAACCUUCUGACUGGAAGGUUAAAAAAAAACUCAACUCAUGCAUUGGAUUGGUUGUUCCAUUUGUCAUGCACCAUAACACAAGGGGAAUGGCGAAGUUCAAGUCUGAACAAAUUUCCUCUGGAACACCUUUCUUCAGGAGGAAGAUGAGCUACCACCUGCUCAGCCCCCACAACAACGCUGCCUCUCAGUGAGCAGCUGGCAUGCUAAAGCCUGGCACACUCCUCACAUGUCGAGGUAGUAGUGCACAUCAGAUGCAAAGCACUGAGUGUGUUUUGCAGCAGCAGCCUGCUGAGGAGUUGUCCCACAGCCUUUGCUUUGUGUAAGCCCCUCAGCAAUUCCCAGGAGCUGUGUAAAGGGUGGCCUGGCUAUGCAUUUGUGGUCUCCUGAUGGGUUCAGCUGGGUAGACAGCACCUGUGACCACAAACAAUUCUAAGGAAAGGCUCUAAGUUACCAAAUGACUCAAAUUGUAUUUACUGAGGAAAAGGGUUCUUUGGUCUCUCCUCACUGUCAUUUUUCAGGCAGCCUUCAUGCCUUUCUGAAGCCUCCUUAGUCCUUACAGAACCGCUGGUUUGGAUCAGUCAACUUACCAGCAGAGCAUCUUUAAAGAAGCCAGUCCACCACUCAGGAAGUGUCUGCAUUUGGGGAAACAUGUAUCAGCUGUCCAGAAAGAUGGGAAACACUGAGUGAAACUUAAAUGAACUCAUUUACUCUACCAAUGAGCUUUUUCAGCCAGGUCAGAGCAGGCACAUUUGUAGAGAGAUAAAUGCUUUUGGUGUUGCUAUCCUUCUGUGCCAAUCCAAGGCAUGUACACAACGUAGCUCUCCAGUUGUUUCUGAACAGUGGUUAAAGAGAAGGAGCCUUGAUCUGAUUUGGUCCUUCUGGAAGCACCUGCUUAGGGAACAUUCUCACCAAAUGUAACCUUGGUCUAACCUUUCUAUAAAGGACUUCAACCUUUAGGCCCUGAUGAACACAGCUUUCAUCAGGGAGCUGUCAUUUUGGAGAAAUAAAUAGAACCCAAUGGAACGAGUAUCUCUCAAACACUUUGUAAAGCUGUUACACACAGUAUGGACUAUUCUCUUCCAUUUCACAUGUCUAAAUAGUCUCCUCAUCUAGGGGUCAGGUAAGCUUGUAUCUCAAUGCCUGCUCCAAACUCAAGAGCUCACUCAGUGUGUCUGUUUGUGCCCAUCAACUGCUCCAGGUACACAGUUACUGCUGUCACACACACUUUAAAACUAGACACAAAGAUGCACCAAAGAGUCUUCAAAAGUCCUUCAAAACCUAAAAAGCAGGUGCUUGCCUGAAAAUCCCACCUGCAAAACCUCAUUUGCCAGAUACUGUGAAAGCAUCCCAAGUUGUGCCUGCCGCAAAAACCCCAUCUAGGACAACCUUUGGAGCACUGACUGGCUUCUGCUCCUAUUUCAGACACUAAUUUUGUGGCCAAAAGAAUACUACAGGAUGUGAGAAAGCAGAAUUCAUCCCUGGGCUUCCCAGUUUAGGGCCAGGGCUUCAUUCCAGUUUUCCAGUGUCUGUUUUUGCAUAGUACAGCCUAGGUUCUGCAGCCUUUAUGCUACUCUCACCCCCUCAGGAGUCCUGAGGGUCGUGUGACAGGAACACAGCCAUUCUGGUACCAACCAACAGAAAAUAUGGAAAUAUCUUCCUUGACUUUCCAGUCUAUUCUAUUUAUGGCUGCCAACACAAGAUCCUUUUCAUUUAGUGCACUAUUUACUGGCUCCUAACAACGAGUAUCCUCGUUGAGUGUAUAGUUGUGCAACCUGGGAAGGUUCAAGAGUCUAACACACUCAAAAGAUCUUUAUUUUAUCAGGUAAGACAAAAGGCCUCCUGGCUCCUUUUACUGAGAAAAGCUGUACCAAGGAGCUGAUGUAAGGGUAGUGUUAGCUUAGAAAUGGAGGAAUCCCUAUUGGCUCCUGCAGUGUUUACCCUCCCUCUAAACCCUGCACAGUAUUUAUCUGCCUUCCAAAGCUUUGGGCAGUAUGGCUUUAAAUGCCUCAAGCAUUGAAGCUUCUUGAGUUUAGGCAAACCAACAAGCCAGUAAUUAGAAACACUUUGCCAAAAGCCAGCUUACAUAUUGCUUCUGCCUCAUUUUUAUCAUCUUGCUGCUCUUGAUCAGAUUGUUUACUCCUCGUGGACUUUUGGUUUUAAUACUGUUCUUUUUUCCUCGGAGUGGCCCUUGAUUUCCCCAAUGCCUCCUGGACCUUAGCUUAGCAUCUUAGGGAAACAGAAAAAAAUAACCCAAUAAUGUUUUACAGUUAUCAGUAAAACUUCUGAUGCAAAAUUUUAGUUAUUCUUAAAAAAAGUGCAAGAAAUGAUCUUUCCAAAACCCUGGCCAAGUCUGCCGGCCAGAUUUAUUUAUACAUGAUCCCAAAAUCCCGAAAUCAUAAUAGUUCCAGGAAAAGAGAAAAAAAGAAAAAGAAAUGCACAUUACAGGAUCUUCCGUUGCUUCAGUCCACAUCUACUUCUGCUCAAUAUCCAAAGACAAUUUUAGCUCCCUUGUGCACCACAGUUCUCCAAUUAGACUACUUUAUGUGAUUUCUAAAAAUAGAGAGGAACUAUAUUUUUGUUCCAUUUCAACACUAGUUUUCCUCAAAUAUUGGCAUGUUAAGGAAAGAAGCCACUAGGGGAAAAAGCAGGAAAAAGUUCAGAACGUUUCCUUCAGCCAGCUUCUAAAACAUACUGUGCAUUUCCUCUCUGCAUGAGUGAGAGAACAGCUUUGGAAAACUGUUGUUUCUCACACUCUUAUCUCAUGGUUGGUUUCAGGGAAAAGUAUUCACAGAUGCAUGAAACUAAGUGAGAAUCUGCUAUUUGCAAUUAUUAUUAUUUUCUUGAUCUAUAAGAAACUGAAGUGCUUACAUACGGCCCCUUAUGUCCUUUCAGUCCUGUUUCUGUCACCAGCCUGCUGGCUUCGUGUUGGUCUGCCCACGUCUCACACCCAUAGGACUUUCCCCCAGAUAUAGAGCUGGCAGGCAAUCACAUCCCUACUAUUCAUUCUUACAGAGAGGUCCUGAAGAGUUUGUAGUUAUAGCCAAGUCAUUCUGCUCUCUUCAGCUACCUCAGUGAGCUACAUGGACAAUAUCAGCAGCUCAGACUCUACAGCAUGUAACAUCCAUUGGUACCAAAACUACUUUUCUUCUCCUCUCCUCCAUUCACUGGAUAGCACAGACCACCUGUAAUUAUGUUUGAUUUAAAUGCAAGCAGAACCAAACAUUCUAAAUGUGCUUUCCUACCAUGGUAGUCCCUAAGAAUGCACACAGCAGUUUCCCUCCUGAGGACUUCUAAGAGCUUUGAAAAUAUAAUUAAAUGUCAACGUUCCUGAAAGUGGCAAAUGCUGGAAUUUCAAGAUGUGUAAGCUGAAGUCCGUCAACUGGUUCAAGAUUAUGCAUUUCCAAGGCACAGGUGAGAACUCACCCAAGACUGGCAGUAGAGCCUCAUUUCUGCUGCUUGCGAGCCGUAAGACACUUAUGAACAGCCUCACUUUUCUCCCUGCCUCUCUCCCAGCAGGGUUCAGUGGAAAACACCGUCUUAUCUUUCCUGGCCUUAAUUCUCACAUCUGUAGACACUAUAAAUAAAAUCGCUCAAUCUUUGGAAAUUCCCAUUACUCCUUUCAGAAACACAUUCUUUUCCUGAUGACAGCUCAGCUUGGGGCUAUCAGUGAUGUCCCCUACUAUGUAUUAUGUGCAGGUGGGAUGUUUGGCCAUGUCAGGCACCAGCUGCCACAUACUGACCCCUUGUUCAUGCAGGCAGGCUCUUGCCAUUGCACCAAGAGAAGGCAUGGCACUAAAAGGUGUUCACAAGAGUAUCUGAAUUUGGCCCUGAAUCAGUGUCAGACACCUGAGAUCUGAAUACAAAUGAACUAACCUUAAGGAAAACUCACGUGUUAAACGCAGCUAUGCUUCCUAUAAUAAACAGGAACUCCCAGGUCCUCCAGCAGGUCAGAUCAGGUAUCCCCAUAACGAUCACAGGUAGCACUAGGAAGAAUUACCUUGCUCCUUAAACACAUCUCCCAGUAAGAAACUACAUUGCCUUACAGAACACCAGCAACAGAAUUAACAUCCCAGCAGUGUGUCCUCAAAGUGGUACUUACAGAUAGGAAGGGUAAAAAUGUGCUAGGCAAAAUCCCCAUGCCUUGUUUGCCUCACAGAUUACUUCUCAUGAGCCUUCAUGCUAUUCCCACCCACUCAGGUGUCCUGAGGGUUGUGUGACAGGAACGCAGAACUGGACUGGGUGAAACAGCCUGGCUUACUCCAGCAUACAAUAGCUGCUGCUUCUCAUCUGGUUAAUUUAUCCUGUCUUCCACAUAAAGCACCUCCAGGACUCUACAAGUGCACACAUGCAAGAGAACAAAGGUAUCUGUCAUGAAAUCUGCAUGCUCAGUGUUUACCAGGUGAGAUGUGAACAAUGCCCAGACAACACUAGAAACCUUUAUUUGUCUUCUGGAGAAGCAUCUGACAAGUGCCAGCACAAGUCCAAGUCUGCCAGGUCCUGCUGCUGCCUUCUCCGUUCAGCUCACCUUCCCUUCCUAGCAUGCAGCAGCCUCGAGAGGAAAGUUACUGUGCCCAGGAAAAGGCCUGGCACGGCACUAAUGUAUAUUGACAGUGUGUUUUCUUCCCUGGUGCCCAGCCACGCACAAAUCCCCUUUCUGAGUCACUCCCAGUGAGAAAACCAACACCGACGUUCUGCUCUGUUGAAAUGGAUCCAGAAAUGGAGAGGAACUCGAGGUGCCGCUUUUGCAGUAACUAGUUCCCCUUGGGCUGCUUGGCCAGCUAUUGAAGAUAUUAAUUACUUUCUGCUGAAAUGAACAGGUGGAGGGGAACAAGUCAGAGGCAUGCUUGGCUAAAGCUCCUGAGCCUCCUCUUCUGCACAUCAAUAUUUGACCAAUGUGUCAGCUUUAGCAUAUUAACAUUCAUGUAAGAGAACGGGCAGAGGCAUUGGCACCAUAGCAGCAUCAAGAUGUGCUACAGCUGGAAGCAGCGGGAAGAGCUGCCCGAGGAAUCACGUCCACCUACAGCACUUGUACCUUCAAGUAGUUGCUUGAUAAACAGGUAAUCAUUGAAGUGCUUGAAACUAUGGCUGUACUAAAAUAUGACAGAGCUUGGUUGCAUUUCUUUUGCUUCCCUUUCAGAUACUGUAUAUCAAGGUUUCUUACUUUUAAGACUUAAAAUACACUCUGAAACUUUGAACAGAUGUAGCCAUCCAAAGUUAUUGCAUUACAGAGCAAGGAAAAUCUUCUAGCAUAUUAUUUCUUCUACCCCUGCAAGAAAAGGAAGAUGGACUACCUUUUUGCAUAACCUCACAGUGCUGCAUGCUAUACACCAAACAACGUAA